rnacentral:rRNA from 1 species
AACGAACGCUGGCGGCAGGCUUAACACAUGCAAGUCGAGCGCCCCGCAAGGGGAGCGGCAGACGGGUGAGUAACGCGUGGGAAUCUACCUAUCACUACGGAACAACUCCGGGAAACUGGAGCUAAUACCGUAUACGUCCGAGAGGAGAAAGAUUUAUCGGUGAUAGAUGAGCCCGCGUUGGAUUAGCUAGUUGGUGGGGUAAUGGCCUACCAAGGCGACGAUCCAUAGCUGGUCUGAGAGGAUGAUCAGCCACACUGGGACUGAGACACGGCCCAGACUCCUACGGGAGGCAGCAGUGGGGAAUAUUGGACAAUGGGCGAAAGCCUGAUCCAGCCAUGCCGCGUGAGUGAUGAAGGCCUUAGGGUUGUAAAGCUCUUUCACCGGUGAAGAUAAUGACGGUAACCGGAGAAGAAGCCCCGGCUAAACUUCGUGCCAGCAGCCGCGGUAAU